rnacentral:rRNA from 1 species
CACGUAGGGCGCAAGCGUUGUCCGGAAUUAUUGGGCGUAAAGAGCUCGUAGGCGGUCUGUUACGUCUGCUGUGAAAACCCGGGGCUUAACCCUGGGCUUGCAGUGGAUACGGGCAGACUAGAGGCAGGUAGGGGAGAAUGGAAUUCCCGGUGUAGCGGUGAAAUGCGCAGAUAUCGGGAGGAACACCGGUGGCGAAGGCGGUCCUCUGGGCCUGACCUGACGCUGAGGAGCGAAAGCGUGGGGAGCGAACAGG